GCUAGUAAUCGCGGAUCAGCAUGCCGCGGUGAAUACGUUCCCGGGCCUUGUACACACCGCCCGUCACACCAUGGGAGUCGGUAACACCCGAAGCCGAUAGUCUAACGAAAGAGGACGUCGUCGAAGGUGGGAUUGAUGACUGGGGGUGAAGUCGUAACAAGGUAGC
rnacentral:rRNA from 1 species